rnacentral:rRNA from 1 species
GACGAACGCUGGCGGCGUGCCUAACACAUGCAAGUCGAGCGGAGUCGAUCGACGGAAGCCUUCGGGCGGAAGAUGGUUGACUUAGCGGCGGAUGGGUGAGUAACGCGUGGGCAACCUGCCUCGAAGACCGGGAUAACAGCCCGAAAGGGCUGCUAAUACCGGAUGUGGUCAAAGAUCCGCAUGGAUUUUUGAUUAAAGGGGAAACCCGUUUCGAGAUGGGCCCGCGUCCUAUCAGCUAGUUGGUGAGGUAAAAGCUCACCAAGGCGACGACGGGUAGCCGGCCUGAGAGGGUGACCGGCCACACUGGAACUGAGACACGGUCCAGACUCCUACGGGGGGCAGCAGUGGGGAAUCUUCCACAAUGGGCGAAAGCCUGAUGGAGCGACGCCGCGUGAGCGAAGAAGGCCUCGGUUGUAAAGCUCUGUCUGGAGGGACGAAGGAAGUGACGGUACCUCCGGAGGAAGACCACGGCUAACUACGUAGCCAGCAGCCGCGGUAAAGUACUCUAU